UCUGUUGCAGAAAAUUCAAGAAAGCACAUAAGAAAAAUAAAAAAAUAAUCAAAAAGAGAAAACCAGGACUGCUAAAUUUAAACUUGAAAGCUCAAAAGAAAAACAUCAAACGAUUUCUUAAUAGAAUCAUGCAAUGCAACCAAAUAGCUUGAAUUUAAAACAUGAAUAUCGAAAUAUUUGCCCAUUGGUCUUUGGCACACUGCUGCAAAGCCUAGAGCAGCCAAGCGUACCAACAAAAUUUAGCAUAUCUUACCAUCAAGCAGGUCCCAGCACGAACAUUACAGAUGGGAUAGUCAUGUGGGCAGCAGCUAUAGUGGUCAUCACAGCAGGUGGCAGCCUCAAGCGGGCAGCAUCCCCAUGCAAAGCAAGAGUUACCAUACUCAAAGACACAGCAGCAAGUGUUGCUCUCAGGGCAAGAGUAAUAAUUGUCACACACAGCAGGAGGCUUUGUUGGAGAUGGAGGGGACGGUCCAGGGUUGGGAGGAUUUUGGCCUUUCUUUAUGGGAUAUGAGGCCUCCAUGGCAAUUCCACACUUGCCCGUGAGAGUGCCAGCCACGUUACGCUCCAUCCUAAUAUAGCCAGCCUCUCCCCAGCUACUGCCCCAUGAAUUCUUCACAAUCCAGUAAUCAGCUCCAUUUUCUGUGCCAUAUCCAACAGCAGUAACACCAUGGUCCAGAGAUGUCCCACAUCUUCCCGUAAAUAUACCCUGAAAAUUUGCAAAGACAGAAAAAUAUACUUGAGACUUCCUUAAAACAGAUCAGACACACACAAGACUCUUCCUGAUCCUGUUUAGAAACCAUUAGAAAUACAAUAAUUUUUGUUCAAAUACCAUCCAGUAUUGUCUCAACCAUAUCUUUUCAGAACUGCAAAAUGCAAAUACUUUGUAUCUAGAUAAUAGCAACAUCCCUAAAUCUAAAAUGUGACAAGUGCCAUGAAGAGAUGAAAGUUAC
rnacentral:lncRNA from 1 species